GUUAAGAUAAGAUACACAAGCUUUUGAUCGAAUGAUUGUGUGUAUUAGUAUUCGGCGAUUAGCUUUGUGCCAAUGACGAUUGAAUGUUGGCGAAAUUUUUCUGUUUCUUUAUUGUUAUUUUGUACCACAAUCAUUUUCAAAUACCCAUGAAAAUAAUUUACAUUUGAUGCACCAGCAGAGAGAGUGCAAUCGCAUUAGCAUAAAGUAUCUUUAUCUUAGCUAGCCUGUGAUUUUGAAUUUACAUGAUCUUUGCUGAAGGGAUAUACGAAAUUCUAAUCUUAUUAUCUCUCAACAAUGCAGGGUAUGGUAAUUAAUGUCACUUUUAAACAUGAACAUUUGCAGGUGAAUUGUUAUAGUGGGUCCUAACUCAUAAGGUAUCACCAGACACCGCACAAAAGAAACGUUCCAUCGUCCAUGCAAGGUAAGACAAAGUUACCAACGUUUAUUAGACCAGGUAAUGUACUAAUAAUAAAGGUAAUAACCUUUAAAUAUAAAUAUUCGAUUACUAUCCGACGGGAGCUUUCUCAAAAUAAAGUUAAACGGCUCAUGAUCCAACAUUACUUAUACUAGAAUCCGACUACUUCAAAUCUAUAUCAUGGUGCAUCUGGAAAAGCAAAGUGAUUACAGGAUAACAAAUGGGUAGUUAGAAACUAGGAGGAAAUCAGCAGAAAUAGUAUGUUGGUAUAUAUAAUAUUGUUACACUAAUAACAAAAUUGUAUUAGUGUAACAAUGUUCAAUUCUUUCCGAGACGCAGUUAAUCCAGUUAAAAAGAAGCGUACGAUCCUAGGUUAAGAUGGCAACCUAAGUUAAAAACAUGAAAACGUGUUGACGUAGACUCCUUAUAUAUCAUAAAAAGAUAAAAGCAGACGAGAUUCCUCGGAGCUUAUUAGCAACUCUCGUCAUGAAGCGGAUCAGAUUCUUCUCUUCAAGUGUUCUUACACGGACCUAUUGUUUAUUCUUGUAAACGAUCCUUAUAAUGUAUCAUACAGACACCGCAAGAAGAAGCUGUUCCUUCGUCCAUGCAAGGU